UAGGAAGGAGCCCAUCGAGAGACAAAUUGACAAGGAAAAGUAUGGCACGCAAGAGGUUAGCGAAAUAUACAGUGGUCUUGCUCGAGAGCUUAGCAGGAACUGGUCAUCAACGGGUAUUGGUGAGAAUGAGGGAAGCUGAAAAAGUAGAACGAAUCAUGAAAGAUCCCAUCGUUGGACAAGAUGUCUUAUAUAAAGAAAUAAAGAAAAUCCGCAGUGUGAAGGUACCACGAAGAAUAUGAUCUUGACAACAUUUAACAUUGAGAUGAGAGAAUGGUGUAAUGGAUGAAAGAUACAUUAUUGCAGGCAAUUGAGGACCCGAAACGUCGAAGAAGUGCUGUGUGAAUUUUAAAGAAUGUGCAGUGUCUUUACUAGUAUUAUGAAUUGGUCAGCCUUGAAAAAUCCUCCAUUUUAUCUGAUGUUGACAGAGACUUUGCCUAAAUUUAAAAGUACAAGGUAGUAAUUUGUAAAACAGUUGACCAAUUUAUAUGAACUUGUAGUGGCAAAUGUAUCAUCUGAGAGGCAUUUUUCGAGGUGUUGUGUGUCAAUUGUGAAUAUUAUUCUGAAAAGGUGCACAUUAGUGAUAUUUCUGCCCUAUGGUUAAAUUGUACAUUUCCUUCGUAGGCUGUGUUUGUUGUGUUGGGUCAGAAUCGUUUUUGAUGUUUGGUAUCACAAGAAGUAAUAAACAUAUAUAAGAAUAA